rnacentral:rRNA from 1 species
CCCGAAACCCGGUGAUCUAGCCAUGGGCAGGUUGAAGGUUGGGUAACACUAACUGGAGGACCGAACCGACUAAUGUUGAAAAAUUAGCGGAUGACCUGUGGCUGGGGGUGAAAGGCCAAUCAAACCGGGAGAUAGCUGGUUCUCCCCGAAAGCUAUUUAGGUAGCGCCUCGUGAACUCAUCUUCGGGGGUAGAGCACUGUUUCGGCUAGGGGGCCAUCCCGGCUUACCAACCCGAUGCAAACUGCGAAUACCGGAGAAUGUUAUCACGGGAG